rnacentral:rRNA from 1 species
CCCUUAGAUGUUCUGGGCCGCACGCGUGCUACACUGAGUGGAUCAGCGGGUCAGGUUGCGCGAAAGCGUUUCCUAAUCUUUAAAUCCGCUCGUGAUGGGGAUUGACGGUUGCAAUUUUCUGUCAUGAACGAGGAAUACCUUGUAAGCGCGGGUCAUCAUCCCGCGCUGAAUACGUCCCUGCCCUUUGUACACACCGCCCGUCGCUCCUACCGAUGAGUCGUCCGGUGAAGUUCGUAGACCUCGUGAUCGCGGAUCACUGGGGGAAGCAAAAUGAACCUCGCGGUUUAGAGGAAGGAGAAGUCGUAACA